AUUCCCGGCCCCAAGUGGAAUGGACGCUCCGGCAAGGGUUUCUACAUCAAGGCCAGAGAGAGAGAAAUGUACGGAAAACAGGCGCGUGUUGUACGAUUGGAGCAUCGCCAGGCAGCCAUUACGAGGGGGUCCGGUUGUUCGUCGGCAGAAGACUGCACGAGGCAGUGCGCGGCGGCAGACCCCAGGGAAUCGACCCACCACAGCGAGCGCAGGGUGUGUGUAUACCAGCUGGAGAGACGGUGCAGGGCGCCACUGUUCAACUGAGACACAAUGUCAACAAACAAACGUGAUACUUUCCACUGACUCCGUGAUACAAGGUCUUUUUUCUUAAAUGCUGACACUUGGUCACCUCAUCAAAACAAUCCCUGCCUUUGCAGAAACCAAAGGCCCAACUCUACGUCACAAAAGCCAGCAAAUGCAACAUUUUCUCAGCCAGUUCAAUCCAUUCCACAUCCUCAAAGCCUACUUCUCUAAGCACCAUAUUUGUACUAUCGUCCCAUUUAUGCAAAGUUCUCCCAAGUUGUCUUAUUACUAAAUGUUUUCUAGCAUUAUCUGUAUCUGUUAUAAACGCAAUUUCCUACUGCAAUAAAUUAUAAAGUUGUA